rnacentral:rRNA from 1 species
GAAUUUGGGUUUUAACUUAGAUUUGGGUGGCGGACGGGUGAGUAACGCGUAAAGAACUGGCCUCACAGCUAGGGACAACAUUUAGAAAUGAAUGCUAAUACCUGAUAUUAUGAUUUUAAGGCAUCUUAGAAUUAUGAAAGCUAUAAGCACUGUGAGAGAGCUUUGCGUCCCAUUAGCUAGUUGGAGAGGUAACAGCUCACCAAGGCGAUGAUGGGUAGCCGGCCUGAGAGGGUGAACGGCCACAAGGGGACUGAGACACGGCCCUUACUCCUACGGGAGGCAGCAGUGGGGAAUAUUGGACAAUGGACUGAGAGUCUGAUCCAGCAAUUCUGUGUGCACGAUGAAGUUUUUCGGAAUGUAAAGUGCUUUCAGUUGGGAAGAAAAAAAUGACGGUACCAACAGAAGAAGUGACGGCUAAAUACGUGCCAGCAGCCGCGGUAAUACGUAUGUCACGAGCGUUAUCCGGAUUUAUUGGGCGUAAAGCGCGUCUAGGUGGUUAUGUAAGUCUGAUGUGAAAAUGCAGGGCUCAACUCUGUAUUGCGUUGGAAACUGUGUAACUAGAGUACUGGAGAGGUAAGCGGAACUACAAGUGUAGAGGUGAAAUUCGUAGAUAUUUGUAGGAAUGCCGAUGGGGAAGCCAGCUUACUGGACAGAUACUGACGCUAAAGCGCGAAAGCGUGGGUAGCAAACAGGAUUAG